AACGUAGGAGACAAACGUUAUCCGGAGUUACUGGGCGUAAAGGGCGUGUAGGUGGUUUCGUAAGUCUGGCGUGAAAUAUCUCGGCUUAACUGAGGCAGGUCGUCGGAUACUGCGGGACUAGAGGACGGUAGAGGCGUGUGGAAUUCCGGGUGUAGUGGUGAAAUGCGUAGAGAUCCGGAGGAACACCAGUGGCGAAGGCGGGUCUCUGGACAGUUCCUGACGCUGAGGCACGAAGGUCAGGGGAGCAAACGGG
rnacentral:rRNA from 1 species